rnacentral:rRNA from 1 species
UGGGGAAUUUUGGACAAUGGGCGAAAGCCUGAUCCAGCAAUGCCGCGUGUGUGAAGAAGGCCUUCGGGUUGUAAAGCACUUUUGUCCGGAAAGAAAUCCUUGGCUCUAAUACAGUCGGGGGAUGACGGUACCGGAAGAAUAAGCACCGGCUAACUACGUGCCAGCAGCCGCGGUAAUACGUAGGGUGCAAGCGUUAAUCGGAAUUACUGGGCGUAAAGCGUGCGCAGGCGGUUUGCUAAGACCGAUGUGAAAUCCCCGGGCUCAACCUGGGAACUGCAUUGGUGACUGGCAGGCUAGAGUAUGGCAGAGGGGGGUAGAAUUCCACGUGUAGCAGUGAAAUGCGUAGAGAUGUGGAGGAAUACCGAUGGCGAAGGCAGCCCCCUGGGCCAAUACUGACGCUCAUGCACGAAAAGCGUGGGGAGCAAACAGGAUUAGAUACCCUGGUAGUCCACGCCCUAAACGAUGUCAACUAGUUGUUGGGGAUUCAUUUCCUUAGUAACGUAGCUAACGCGUGAAGUUGACCGCCUGGGGAGUACGGUCGCAAGAUUAAAACUUAAAUGAAUUG